UACGAAGGGGGCUAGCGUUGCUCGGAAUCACUGGGCGUAAAGCGCACGUAGGCGGAUUGCUAAGUCAGGGGUGAAAUCCUGGAGCUCAACUCCAGAACUGCCCUUGAUACUGGCGGUCUCGAGUCCGGGAGAGGUGAGUGGAACUGCGAGUGUAGAGGUGAAAUUCGUAGAUAUUCGCAAGAACACCAGUGGCGAAGGCGGCUCACUGGCCCGGUACUGACGCUGAGGUGCGAAAGCGUGGGAGCAAACAGG
rnacentral:rRNA from 1 species